CCUACGGGUGGCAGCAGUGGGGAAUAUUGGGCAAUGGGCGCAAGCCUGACCCAGCAACGCCGCGUGAAGGAAGAAGGCUUUCGGGUUGUAAACUUCUUUUGUCAGGGAAGAGUAGAAGACGGUACCUGACGAAUAAGCCACGGCUAACUACGUGCCAGCAGCCGCGGUAAUACGUAGGUGGCAAGCGUUGUCCGGAUUUACUGGGUGUAAAGGGCGUGUAGCCGGGUUGACAAGUCAGAUGUGAAAGCCUGGGGCUUAACCGCAGAACUGCAUUUGAGACUGUUGCUCUUGAGUACUGGAGAGGAAGAUGGAAUUCCUAGUGUAGCGGUGAAAUGCGUAGAGAUUAGGAGGAACACCAGUGGCGAAGGCGGUCUGCUGGACAGCAACUGACGGUGAGGCGCGAAAGCGUGGGGAGCAAACAGGAUUAGAUACCCCUGUAGUC
rnacentral:rRNA from 1 species